UACGGGGGGGGCAAGCGUUGUUCGGAAUUACUGGGCGUAAAGGGCUCGUAGGCGGCCAACUAAGUCAGACGUGAAAUCCCCAGGCUCAACCUGGGAACUGCGUCUGAUACUGGAUGGCUUGAAUCCGGGAGAGGGAUGCAGAAUUCCUGGUGUAGCGGUGAAAUGCGCAGAUAUCAGGAGGAACACCGGUGGCGAAGGCGGGUCUCUGGGCCGAUACUGACGCUGAGGGGCGAAAGCGUGGGGAGCGAACAGG
rnacentral:rRNA from 1 species